rnacentral:rRNA from 1 species
GACGAGAAGCUUGCUUCUCUGAUGCUAGCGGCGGACGGGUGAGUAACACGUGGAUAACCUACCUAUAAGACUGGGAUAACUUCGGGAAACCGGAGCUAAUACCGGAUAAUAUUUUGAACCGCAUGGUUCAAAAGUGAAAGACGGUCUUGCUGUCACUUAUAGAUGGAUCCGCGCUGCAUUAGCUAGUUGGUAAGGUAACGGCUUACCAAGGCAACGAUGCAUAGCCGACCUGAGAGGGUGAUCGGCCACACUGGAACUGAGACACGGUCCAGACUCCUACGGGAGGCAGCAGUAGGGAAUCUUCCGCAAUGGGCGAAAGCCUGACGGAGCAACGCCGCGUGAGUGAUGAAGGUCUUCGGAUCGUAAAACUCUGUUAUUAGGGAAGAACAUAUGUGUAAGUAACUGUGCACAUCUUGACGGUACCUAAUCAGAAAGCCACGGCUAACUACGUGCCAGCAGCCGCGGUAAUACGUAGGUGGCAAGCGUUAUCCGGAAUUAUUGGGCGUAAAGCGCGCGUAGGCGGUUUUUUAAGUCUGAUGUGAAAGCCCACGGCUCAACCGUGGAGGGUCAUUGGAAACUGGAAAACUUGAGUGCAGAAGAGGAAAGUGGAAUUCCAUGUGUAGCGGUGAAAUGCGCAGAGAUAUGGAGGAACACCAGUGGCGAAGGCGACUUUCUGGUCUGUAACUGACGCUGAUGUGCGAAAGCGUGGGGAUCAAACAGGAUUAG